UACGUAGGGUGCUAGCGUUACUCGGAAUCAUUGGGCGUAAAGGGUGUGUAGGUGGAAUAGUAAGUCAGAUGUGAAAGCCUUGGGCUUACCCCAAGAAGUGCAUUUGAUACUGCUAUUCUAGAGUUCGGGAGAGGGAGGCAGAAUUCCAGGUGUAGAGGUGAAAUCCGUAGAUAUCUGGAGGAAUACCGGAGGCGAAGGCGGCCUCCUGGACCGACACUGACACUGAGACACGAAAGCGUGGGUAGCAAACAGG
rnacentral:rRNA from 1 species